ensembl:misc_RNA
UGGCAAGGUUGACAUAGCCUAAUUUGUCUGCCUACUAGGUGAAUGGGGCUGCCAGUCUGGCAGUUUGCGUUGGCAAUAAAUCACUAGUAGACAUUUUAUUUAAAAAUUGGCAUGGCUUGGGGGAGGUAAAGGAUUGUCAAUUUGUUUUUAUUUUGAGGCCAGGCAUGGUCAUAACACACACAGGCCACCUGGAAAC